GUACUUAUAGUUUAAAGGAAAAAUGAAUUACUGUUAAUAAUUUGUUAUUGGUUCGAUUCCAAUUGAGUACG
rnacentral:tRNA from 1 species